rnacentral:sRNA from 1 species
UUACGUGACGAAGCGCGCAGCAAAGUAGACAAUAAAGCCUGAGCGUUAAAAAUGACAAACAGCGCCGGUUAAUCCGGCGUUUUUU